CAUAUAAGUCAGCAACGAUUUUUGUUGCUUUCCAAUAUUCGAAUAAUAAACAAGUCUGCAUCAUAAUAGGGAUAAUACCAAUUGCAGUUUAAUAUUAUAAAAAGGAAAAUGCUAGGUAAACAAUGACCUUUUUGAACAAUAUGAACAACGGGCCCUAAAAAUUAGCCCAAUUAGAUUACUAACACAGUAUACCCGUAUACACCCCCUCCCAAAUCCAAAUUUUAAUCAUCUUAAUUACUAACAUCAUAAUCAUCCCACCCACUCCCACCUUCUUUGACCAGUAAAAACUUUUCUCCUUCCCCACUAUUCAAACGGCAUUCAAGAAGUAGUAGCCUUUCCCUAUAUUGAAACGGCAUUGACAAAGGAGGACCUUCCCACAUCUGGCGCUUCUUCUCUGCAUCUCGUCGUCCAUCCUGCCCCUCGCCAAACCGACCAUCCCCGGGGCGCCUCCAUUGUGAAGACGAGUAGCAGCAGGCGAAUCCCCCUGUUGCCGUCGCGUGGAAGUCACCCAGCCCCCACCCGCGUUGUCUUUUAACGGUCAUCUCCCAAGGUUGAAGUCCCUGCAUGUCCGCGCCGCUUGGAGUCUUCCUCGGACAAAACCAGAGCAACCGUGGUGCGUGUUUGCUUUCCCCUAUUGAAGCGGAAAAAUUAUACUAGAUGAAUGUUUAAAGUUGAGCAUUGUGACAUGAUCUACAGCAUUUAGGAAGCAAUUGUUACUAAUCUCUAGAGCCUAUCAAAUUGAUUAUAUUAUGACUUGUUUUGGUAACUUUCUUAACCAGAAGUUCAAUUUUGACUAUUACGCUUCCAAGAACCUUGUUUUACUUGAUUUUCUGUUAUCUGCCUGGGUACUCAUACUGCGCACGACUUUGGGUGUUCUGCUGCUUCAUGGAUGCUUGGAUUAAAGCGAACUAUAUGAAAUUUGAUGGAGUUUGGGCUUGAUAUUUUAGAAUUCUUUUCUUUAUCUGUUUUUAGUUCAUGUGAUUGACUUUUAAUUUCUAUGAAUUACGGAUGUUCAAUUUUGUAAGAAAUGAUGAAUGCAAAAAAGAGAUGGCUUUUAGUGGUGGCUUCACUAGAUAUGAGUUAAAUUGGUUGUAAAUACUAUAGUUGCAUAAUGUUUGAUGUCUACAUAUUUAUGAUAUUAUUAUUUUCGAUCAUGGAUGUUGUAAAGACUCGUGUUAAACUUUUAAAAAUAAUACAUAGUUAUAUAGAAAUAAUAUUUUUUAUGCGUAUGAAAUUUUCUAAAUAAUGCGAGCGGACUAUUAUACUACAUGAAUGUCAAAAAUUUACGGUUUUAAAAUGAUCUAAAUCAUUUAUGAAGCAAUUUUUAGUGUUAAUAAUUUCUAGUGCCUAUUAAGCAAUUUUUAUUAGGAAUUGUAUUGGUUCAUUUUGUAAUCGGAAGGCCAUUUUUUACUCAUUCCUUUCUACAGAGCCUGUUAAGCCCGAUUUUUGGUUCUUUGCCUAUUUACUUGUAUUGCGCAUGGCAUUCUGUUGUUCUGCCGUUGAUUUCCAAUUUUUUUUUUAAAUUACAACAUAGUUAGUAAUAUCACAUGGUGCACGAAUGCUUAGAUUAAAGCGAAUUGUAUGAAAUUUGUUGCAGUUUGGUGAUUGAUUUAUUUGAUUUAUUUUGUAUAUCUAUGUGUGGUUCAUGUGAUUGACUUUGAACUCUAUACACUAUGGAUGUUCAAUUUCGUAAGAAAACAUCAUACCUAAAUGGAAAAGUAUUUUUCUGGUGGCUAACCUACAUAUGUAUUAAUAUGGGAGUCAUUACUAUGGCAGCUUAAUUGUUGAUGGCAACAUAUUUAUUUGUUAAUCCUUCUAGAAAUAUGGGAGUCAUUACAUGGCAGCUUAUGGUUGAAUGUUUCCUGACAGGCAAGAACCUGCUCUGAGUUUCAGUUGCUGAAUAGCAUUUAAAUAGAGAAAAAGGUUAUCAGUGUUUUGUUAUUACGAAGUAUUGAUUCCUAUUAUUUCUAAUAACUUGUAUUGUGUUUCUUAAUAGAAAUUAGUGGAGACGCGAUGUUCUCGAUGCUACAUCAACGGGAUGAUUAACCACUUGCAAGAAAUUAAUACUGAUGCGAAGCUAGCUGAGAUUGACGCUGUUGGGUUUGGCUUUGUGAAGAAGAUUCCUCACUGGGCAGUGAAGUAGAAGAUAAUGAUUCAACUAGCCAGGGCUUAUGAUGUGGAGACAAACACACUUAUAGUGGAUGUCAGGAACAUCCGAAUUAAUGCUGAGUUAAUAGGGAGGGCGUUAGGGAUACCCUAUAGUGGUAAGCUCCUUAUUUUUACUUGUGAAUUUGUUGUCAUAUAUGGUUCGGUGGGUUUUGCUCUUAGCUAUCGUUAAAUUUAUUCUAUUUGCUUGUUUCACUCUGAAAUGUAGGUGUUGACAUUCCAAAAAUAGAAAAAAAAAAAAAAAAGAAUCCGGCUCACCGGGAAAUCAAAGAGUAAUUUAAAAA